CUGAGAAGCAAGGCCCAGAGGAACAAACACUGUGCGUGGGAAACCAGAGAGGGGCUCUGGAGGAGGGGACGGAAGAGGCCAGAGACAGGGUGGCUUUUCUGAAGAUGUUUCUCUGUGUCUUGUGGAUUGGAUAUGUACUUAUGUUUCCUCUGAAGGCCAAGACAUAACCACUUGGCAGUAAAUAGGACUUGAAAGCAAAGAAUCAGACCCUCAAUGGAAAGGAAGAUUUAGAGACCAGAAGUUGGAAAUCAGCUUUAAUGAGUCAAAACCAAGAUGUUGGGCUUCCCUAGUGGCUCAGUGGUAAAGAAUCUGCCUGUUAAUGCAGAAGACACAGGUUUGAUCCUCGAUCCAGGAAGAUCCUGCCUGCCUUGGAGCGCCUAAGCCCGUGUGCCACAACUACUGAGCCUGCGCUCUAGAGCCCGGGAGCUGCAACUCCUGAAGCCGGCACAUCAGAGAGCCUGUGCUCCGCAACAAGAGAAGCAUUGCAAUGAGAAACCCACGCACUGCAACUAGGGAGUAGCCCCCCCACUUGCUGCAACUAGAGAAAAGCCCAAGUAGCAACAAAGACCCAGCACAGCCAAAAACAAAUAAAUGAAUAUUUUUAAAAAACCAAAGUGUUGGCAGGCCUCACUUUCUCUGGCGGUGACAGAGGAGAACCUGCUCCCUGCCUCUUCAAGGUUCUGGUAGCUGCAGGCAUUCCUUGGCUUGCAGAUGUGUCACUCCAACCCUGCCUUCAUGCGCCAUUACCUUAUUCUAUUCUAUGUGUGUCAAAUCUCUCUCUGUUUCUCUCUCGUAAGGACACUUGUGAUUGGACUUAGGGACCAUGCAGAUAAUCUAGAACAAUCUCCCCAUGUCAAGAUCCUUAAAGUGAAAGUGAAAGUGUUAGUUGUUCAGCCGUGUCUGCCUCAUCUGCAGCCCACCAGGCUACUCUGUC
ensembl:lncRNA